GUGGAGCUUAGAGUUUACAUCUAUAUUAAAAAACAAAACAAGUAAAAUGGGUAACAGAAAAACCUGCCUUGCAAAGACAGACUGUGGUAACCACAGAACAUGGAGAAAGUUUAAGCACCUGUAAAAUAAAAGCUGUAUGGCAUGAGGAAAGCAAUAUCGGUAUAAUGUCAUGAUCUCUCUUGUGGUGGCCCACUAAUUCUUAAUCACAGGAAAAUGAAGGUUACGUCAUAUCUGCAGCAUGUGUUAUGAAGCAGCCAAGUGUAGAGGAAGUUUUCUGUUUCAGCAGGUUGAUCAUGGUGGCCUAUCUGGCACUGGAACCAAACAUGGUACCCUUCAUCUCCC
rnacentral:lncRNA from 1 species